UCCUACGGGGGGCAGCAGUGAGGAAUAUUGGUCAAUGGUCGGGAGACUGAACCAGCCAAGCCGCGUGAGGGAUGAAGGUACAGAGUAUCGUAAACCUCUUUUGUCAGGGAACAAAGGCGGGGACGUGUCCCCGGAUGAGUGUACCUGAAGAAAAAGCAUCGGCUAACUCUGUGCCAGCAGCCGCGGUAAUACGGAGGAUGCGAGCGUUAUCCGGAUUUAUUGGGUUUAAAGGGUGCGCAGGCGGUCUGUUAAGUCAGCGGUCAAAGCCCGGGGCUCAACCCCGGCCCGCCGUUGAAACUGGCAGG
rnacentral:rRNA from 1 species